AAGAAGAGAGGCACCCGAUUGGCACGGUGCCGAUGACUAAGGGCAUUCAAGACCCUAGGGAUGGCGCCCAAAGCACAUGUCGCGCUCCCUGAGCGCAAAGACUGAUGACGACAUUGAGACCCGAGGAAGGUCUAAGGCACAGAAGACAGACUACACAAACUGUGCACCACCACAGACACAGGCUGGAACUGCCCUGCCCACGCUGGUCUCGCGCUGAAAAGCGACCCGCUCCCUUCGCCUGCCCAAAGGGGACUGCUCCUGGACAGCCCUCUCUCCUGCGCUAAAUUUAAAACACCUCCCUGCAAUUCCCAGCUUUGUCCCUUCCUCC